rnacentral:rRNA from 1 species
AUGAGUUGUCUCAGCUGGAACUGCCGGGGGCUUGGGAACCCCGAGGCAAUUCGGGAGCUCCGCAACAUUGUGAAGCAGGAAGGGCCCGGUCUCCUAUUUCUUAUGGAGACCAAAAUAUCAGCCAAGCGAGUGGAUAAUCUACAGAACUCUCUUGGUUUUGCUGGAUGUUUUGUGGUGAGCAGCAUUGGACUCAGUGGGGGACUAGGUUUGUUCUGGUCUACUGAGCUUGAUGUUGAGCUCAAAAAGUAUAGUUCUGGCCAUAUAGAUGUUGUGGUGCAGAGGAAAAAUGAUACGUCCAAAAACUGGCGUGUCACAGGUUCCUAUGGAGCUUCGUGA